AGUAGAAGAGAUCCCGGAGUUGCAAAAUGUGCAUCUUGCACCAGUAUGCACGAACGAGUGAACAGAACAGAAAGACAGUUUCGAUCCCUUCCAGAUAACCAGCAAAAACUGCUUCCUCAGUUUCCUCUUCACUUGGACAAGAUCCGGAAAUGCAUUGACCAUAAUCAGGAAAUACUACUGACCAUUGUGAAUGAUUGCAUACAUAUGUUCGAAAAUAAGGAAUAUGGAGAAGAUGCCAAUGGAAAGAUUAUGCCAGCAUCUACAUUUGACAUGGAUAAGUUAAAAUCUACACUGAAACAGUUUGUAAGAGACUGGAGUGAGACCGGGAAAGCAGAAAGGGACGCCUGCUAUAAGCCAAUCAUUAAAGAGAUUAUCAAAAAUUUUCCAAAAGAGAGAUGGGAUCCUUCUAAAGUAAAUAUUCUGGUACCUGGUGCUGGACUAGGAAGAUUGGCCUGGGAAGUAGCUAUGCUAGGUUAUGCUUGUCAAGGAAAUGAAUGGAGUUUUUUUUAUGCUCUUUUCUUCCAACUUUGCACUCAACAGAUGUUCUGAAAUUAACAAAUAUAAACUUUAUCCCUGGAUCCAUCAGUUUAUCAAUAAUCGGAGAUCAGCUGAUCAGAUUCGACCCAUUCUUUUCCCUGAUGUUGACCCCCACAGUCUUCCUCCUGGUUCUAACUUUUCCAUGACAGCAGGAGACUUUCAGGAGAUUUACUCCGAAUGCAAUACCUGGAACUGUAUUGCCACCUGUUUCUUCAUAGACACAGCUCACAAUGUAAUUGAUUAUAUUGAUACGAUAUGGAGAAUACUCAAGCCAGGUGGAAUCUGGAUAAAUCUUGGUCCUCUACUAUACCAUUUUGAAAAUCUGGCAAAUGAACUGUCUAUAGAAUUGAGCUAUGAGGAUAUUAAAAAUGUUGUUCUGCAGUAUGGAUUUCAGCUA